rnacentral:lncRNA from 1 species
AAUAACUUCCGGACGCUUUCUUUAAGACAAGGCCACACGUCCAUUCCGGCCUCUUAUCGACGGGGACUGCUCUAAGGUAAUGUGUUCUCUGAGGAAGCUGAGGCUGCACGGUUUGAGCUGGGUGGCCGGCGAUGAUGACACUCCAUACAUAGCACGCGUUAGACUGCUGAUCCGGGUGAUGCGAAUCGUAAUCUGAGCCGACCGCACCGGCAGCGGGAGGUGGCGGGCGCAGCCGACUUCGUACCCUCACCCUUCGCUUCUCUUUCAGGUCUGCCCUGCGCAGGACAGCAGACAGCGUGGACUUCUACCACCUUUCCCCGAGCCUCUGAAUAAAGUGUUUAAAUAACCCCGCUGGUGUCUUGUGUGUCACUGUCGCCGACGCGCUGCCUUUGAGCCCCCGGCCCACCUUCUCGUGGUGCCGGGGGUUAAGCUGCGGCGCCAUAACACUCUGCUAGCGCAUAACUGGGGCCGCCUGCCCUUCGCGGGCGGCCCUUUUAACCGCUAGCUACAGGCUCAGAGCAGCCGACUACACGGCACUUCGGGAGUCGAGGGCAGAUGGUGUUGGCCCAGGCCAUAGGCUUAGGUUUUGGAGUAACUGGCCCGAGUGAUAACUUGAUAAAGUAGGUCCUGUACUGUCCUUUGUCCCUGCCCCAAGCGUGGGCAGUACUUGAGAUGUCCUGCCUACAGGAAAAUGGAAUGGGAGGAGCCCUGGAGGUGAAUGGAUGCCAUCUGGCACACGGGCUUUGGGGCGACUGAAGCCUUAAGGGGGGAGAGGCUGUUAAUUAAGUCAGGCCUCAGAGUGCAGAUAUGCCAGAGGUUGCGUCCCCAGUGUUUGAAUAACUGAGACCACCGACCUAGAAGGAAACUGAAUUACAGAGGCUUCUUUUUGGGGAGGGGGGCUUCGAGACAGGGUUUCUCUGUGUAGCCCUGGCUGUCCUCGAACUGAAAUCCGCACCACGCCCGGCUUAAAGAGGCUUCUUAGUGUUCCUGAGUGAAGUUGCUUAAUUGGAGCUUACUAGUAAGCAAUUAGAACAAAGUAGUUAGAUGAAACUUUGGAUUAAAACAGAAAGGAAGCUUUAAGGGACAGGUUCCAUAGACUGACCAGUUUUUCUAGAAAACAAGGUUAUCCCUCUGGUUCCAUAAGAAGUAAUAAUGGAUUUCUUUAGUUCCCACCUCUACAGUGCUGGAGGCUAGCAAAGGUGGCUAAAACUAGCCUUGUGAGGGUCUCUGCAUUCACGGUCCUGUGGGUUUCUCUAAAAAAUAACAUGCUUGUCUGGUGUUUGACAUGAAUAUUUAUUUUGUGAGACAAUGCAAGUGAUUUUAAGUUCCCAAAUUAUUUUAAGCUUAAUAAGUUCAGUCUCCAAUUGUGUGUCUAUCUAGUCUUGCCUUUAGUUACUGCAGAGAAAGACCAAUGAACAAGGCAUGUGGGCUCUUGACAGGCAAAUGGGAGAAAUUAAAGCAGUACACUGACUGGAAUGGUCAAAUAAUUUGUCAUGUUUUAAUGGGAUGAUUAAAAUAAAGACUCAAAUAAGUUUUCAA